rnacentral:rRNA from 1 species
UUUAAAAUUUGACCUGCCCAAUGAAAAUUUAAUGGCUGCAGUAAUUUGACUGUGCAAAGGUAGCAUAAUCAUUAGUUUUUUAAUUGAAAGCUUGUAUGAAUGGUUGGACGAGAAAAUGACUGUCUCAAUUUAAUUGUAAUAGAAUUUUAUUUUUAAGUAAGAAAGCUUAAAUAAUAUUGAAAGACGANAAGACCCUAUAGAGUUUUAUAUAUGUAUAUAUGUAAAUUUUUAGGAAGUUUUGUAUUUAUAUCUAUANAUAUAUUUUAUUGGGGCGAUAGUGAAAUUAAGGUAACUUUUAUUAUUUGUUUACAUUGAUUUAUGAGUUAAUGAUCCAUUUUUUAUGAUUUAAAGAUUAAAUUACCUUAGGGAUAACAGCGUAAUUUUUUUUGAGAGUUCUUAUCGAAAAGAAAGUUUGCGACCUCGAUGUUGGAUUAAAGUUAACUUUUGGUGCAGUAGCUUGAAAGUUAGGUCUGUUCGACCUUUAAAACUUUACAUGAUCUGAGUUUAAACCGGUGUGAGCCAGGUUGGUUUCUAUCUUUAAUUAAGUUUUAUAUCUUAGUACGAAAGGACUUGAUAUGAAUAUAAUUUAUUUAGUGUUGAAUAUUAUUA